rnacentral:rRNA from 1 species
UACAGAGGGUGCAAGCGUUAAUCGGAAUUACUGGGCGUAAAGCGCACGCAGGCGGUUGGUUAAGUCAGAUGUGAAAGCCCCGGGCUCAACCUGGGAAUUGCAUUUGAAACUGGCCAACUAGAGUACGUGAGAGGGGGGUAGAAUUCCAAGUGUAGCGGUGAAAUGCGUAGAGAUUUGGAGGAAUACCAGUGGCGAAGGCGGCCCCCUGGCACAACACUGACGCUCAGGUGCGAAAGCGUGGGGAGCAAACAGG